UCCCCAUAAUCUCUAAAUUAUUAAUAAUUAGUUGUUUUCUUAUAGUCUCUUAUGAUGUCUGUCCUUUAUAAUUAGAUACUUCGUGUCUUUAUAUCCUUAUGUUUUGCUUUAGGUCUCCUUAGAAGUGGCUGCAGAGAUGGGACUAGACAUGCAAGAGAUUUAUUGCAGGAAACACCUAGGCUGAGACAAGCGGGGAGAACUGGAGAAGACUGAGAAAAUCUUCACAUCAUGACACAGAAAAAGGCCAUGUGACAACACAGCAAGAAGGUGACAUCUGCAAACCCAGCAGUGAGGCCUUGCCAGAAACCAAUCAUGUUGGCACCUUGGUCUUGGACUUCCAGCCUCCAGAAUUGUGACGAGUACUUGACAAGACAGCAACUGUGGACCCAAAGAUGGAAGUCAUGUGUUUGGGACUAUAGAAUUACCUUCUAAUCCAGGCUCCUUACUUCUGGAGAGGUAAGGACUUAUGAAAGAAAUAAUAAACAUCUGUUUUCUUUAAGUUUCUGUAUUUUUGGAUUCUUUGUUAUAACAGCUUAGCCUGUGCUCCAAUUAAUAAUGGCAGGAUUAUCAAAGAAGAGAAGAUAACACUAAUUUCUACAGAGCAUAAUAAAGGUAAAUUUAAAUGUUUCAUAUAUUUUAAUUUUUCUGAAGCUUGAUAAUAUAUGGACAAUAUUUUUUGUAUACAAAACUUGGAC